UACAGAGGGGGCAAGCGUUGUUCGGAAUUACUGGGCGUAAAGGGCGCGUAGGCGGCCUGCUAAGUCGAACGUGAAAUCCCUGGGCUCAACCCAGGAACUGCGUCCGAUACUGGUUGGCUUGAAUCCGGGAGAGGGAUGUGGAAUUCCAGGUGUAGCGGUGAAAUGCGUAGAUAUCUGGAGGAACACCGGUGGCGAAGGCGACAUCCUGGACCGGCAUUGACGCUGAGGUGCGAAAGCGUGGGGAGCAAACAGG
rnacentral:rRNA from 1 species